CUUGCCAGCUCUCCAUCAUGAAUGAGAGGAAAUGAAGCAAAACCACUCUGCAGGAUUUGAUAUCAAAGCUGGUGCAGGAAAAGGAAGCAGAUCAUGACCUUCAGCAGCUCGAGAAGAUAAGCAGCGUCCUUAAGAGUCCAGUUGCUAUCUUUAGCAGUGUUGGAACCAGUGAGUCUGAGACACCCACCACCAGUGGAAAGGUAGGCUGACGAGCGCCUCAAGCACUCUGAAAAAGGUGGAGCAACAACAAGAAACAGAAAAUUGCAUCCAUCAUUCUUUGCCUGAGGAGGGAAUUGAUGCUCUGUUGACCCUUCACACUGAUGUCCCUCAUGAGGAGGGGAGAAUAUGAAUCCUACAGAACUUGCCCAUAGGAA